rnacentral:rRNA from 1 species
GACGAACCGUGCGAACGUUGUUCGGAUUCACUGGGCUUAAAGGGCGCGUAGGCGGACGGUCAAGUCGGGGGUGAAAUCUUUCAGCUUAACUGGAAAAGUGCCUCCGAUACUGAUCGUCUCGAGGGAGGUAGGGGCAUGUGGAACUUCCGGUGGAGCGGUGAAAUGCGUAGAUAUAGGAAGGAACACCAGUGGCGAAGGCGACCACCUGGACUGAUACUGACACUGAGGUGCGAAAGCGUGGGGAGCAAACAGG